UGGAUAUUGACUUUACCUUCGCAUGGGUUUGGUUGAAAGCUUUUGUGGUUUUGGAUGGACUCGCGGCCUAUCAGCUUGUUGGUGAGGUAAUGGCUCACCAAGGCGACGACGGGUAGCCGGCUGAGAGGGUGACCGGCCACACUGGGACUGAGACACGGCCCAGACUCCUACGGGAGGCAGCAGUGGGGAAUAUUGCACAAUGGGCGAAAGCCUGAUGCAGCGACGCCGCGUGAGGGAUGACGGCCUUCGGGUUGUAAACCUCUUUCAGUAGGGAACAAGGCUACACGUUGUGUGGUUGAGGGUACCUGCAGAAGAAGCGCCGGCUAACUACGUGCCAGCAGCCGCGGUAAUACGUAGGGCGCAAGCGUUAUCCGGAAUUAUUGGGCGUAAAGAGCUCGUAGGCGGUUUGUCGCGUCUGCCGUGAAAGUCCGGGGCUCAACCCCGGAUCUGCGGUGGGUACGGGCAGACUAGAGUGAUGUAGGGGAGACUGGAAUUCCUGGUGUAGCGGUGAAAUGCGCAGAUAUCAGGAGGAACACCGAUGGCGAAGGCAGGUCUCUGGGCAUUAACUGACGCUGAGGAGCGAAAGCAUGGGGAGCGAACAGGAUUAGAUACCCUGGUAGUCCAUGCCGUAAACGUUGGGCACUAGGUGUGGGGGACAUUCCACGUUUUCCGCGCCGUAGCUAACGCAUUAAGUGCCCCGCCUGGGGAGUACGGCCGCAAGGCUAAAACUCAAAGGAAUUG
rnacentral:rRNA from 1 species